GACGUAGGGCGCGAGCGUUGUCCGGAUUUAUUGGGCGUAAAGAGCUCGUAGGCGGCUCGUUGCGUCGGCUGUGAAAACCCGCAGCUCAACUGUGGGCUUGCAGCUGAUACGGGCGGGCUGGAGUUCGGUAGGGGAGACUGGAAUUCCUGGUGUAGCGGUGAAGUGCGCAGAUAUCAGGAGGAACACCGGUGGCGAAGGCGGGUCUCUGGGCCGAUACUGACGCUGAGGAGCGAAAGCGUGGGGAGCGAACAGG
rnacentral:rRNA from 1 species